CACGUAGGGUGCAAGCGUUGUCCGGAAUCAUUGGGCGUAAAGAGCUCGUAGGCGGCUUAGUAAGUCGGGUGUGAAAACCCCAGGCUCAACCUGGGGACGCCACCCGAUACUGCUAUAGCUAGAGUCCAGUAGGGGAGUGUGGAAUUCCCAGUGUAGCGGUGAAAUGCGCAGAUAUUGGGAGGAACACAGCGGCGAAGGCGGCACUCUGGGCUGGUACUGACGCUGAGGAGCGAAAGCGUGGGUAGCGAACAGG
rnacentral:rRNA from 1 species